rnacentral:rRNA from 1 species
AUUGAACGCUGGCGGCAGGCCUAACACAUGCAAGUCGAGCGAGCGGCGGACGGUUGAGUCAUGUCUGGGGACUGCCCGAUAGCGGGGGAUCACUACUGGAAACGGUGGCUAAUACCGCCUACUGUCGGAUACCCCAUAUGGGAUUAGCUAGUAGGUAAGGUAAUGGCUUACCUAGGCGACGAUCCCUAGCUGGUCUUAGAGGAUGGUCAGACACACUGGGAUUGAGAUACGGCCCAGACUCCAAGGGAGGCAGCAGGGGGGAAGAGUGCACAAUGGGCGCAAGCCUGAUGCAGCCAUGCCGCGUGUAUGAAGAAGGCCCUAGGGUUGUAAAGUACUUUCAGUCGGGAGGCGUGACCGACAGAAGAAGCACCGGCUAACUCCGUGCCAGCAGCCGCGGUAAUUC